AUGUUGUGAUGAGGACACUUUCUCAAUAGUUCCUUGAACCUAUCCCAAGAGUCAUAUAAAGAUUCCCCCUUAAACUGAUAAAAUUUAUUGAAUUCUCCUCUUUAUUU